GCAGUUUUAUGGUGAAGAUAAUGACACUGUCAUGUCAUUACGAGUUACUAGGGUGAUGAUCAUACGUAAUUAAUUACCCGAUGCGCACCAUGGGGACCAAAUAAAGGAUAAUUUCCAGAUAAAAAGUAUGCUGCUUGGACAUGAUGCCUAGGCAUUGCGACUCAAAGUCAGUAUCUGACCAAUUAAGGGUUUUGAGGACUGUUGAAUUUCGGGAGCUUCUGCAGGAUGAGGAAUAAAUUAGGCAGAUCAUCAGAUUCAGCCAAAAGGCUCUCUCACAGAAAUUCACAGAUGGGAGAAUAUCCCUGGAGAAUUUUGUGGAGUCCUGUCAAAGAUCUUGUAAGGUCUACCAUGUCCGUCUGGUUCAUCAAGCCGGAACAGAAACCCCAAAGGCCCACUGAGAAUCACAAUACUCUGCUCCAGUCCACUGCCGGAUGGGUCCAUAUCAACCGCCCCUGAGUGACCACAUCAACAUUGCUAAACCUGAGGCCUACAGCCUUGCCUUUUGACACUGGCCAGCCUGUAGGCCUUAGAGUGUAUGGAAAGGGUCAUGCUCCCAGUUGGCCAGCCAGACCUGUACGUCUGCAGCGACUCAACAACAUAUAGCCUAGACAUCAUCAGCAGGACCCACUGCCACAUUGACACUGUUGGAUAGAAAGGGCAACUGUUACUCUUUGGACUAUAAUGAAUUUAUGUACUUUAUGAUUGUCUGUAAAAUAGCACCACAUAGUUGAAACAAGUUGAUUAAGAAGGGUGAAUAAAGACAACACCUUGUGGGUUUUGUUUUAUAUCCAGGCUCCCCUAAAACAUGUCAUUGUAACAUCAUACUGUAGGCAUCAAUGCUUUCUUGGGGUAGGAAACCCCUGAACUCACUGUGCCUCAGUGCAGUAGGUCACAAGGUGUACUUAAACUCUUCACCUAGCUACACUUGAUAGCUCAGAUCAUCCUCUCUCCACAGAGACUCCUGCUAAGGUCAGCCAAGGACCACGUCUGGAACUGUCAAACUGCAAGCUUUUUCAAGCCUCUAAAUCACACUUUCUCUAUAAUUUUUAUUACAUCCAAAACCAAUGUUGAUUCAUUGUUCCUAAAAUUCAUACUGAAAGCAUAGUUGCCUGAUUCCAUUGAAUGACUAACACUCUGCCUACCGUACUCAGUGGUUGUCGUUUGUUCCCCCAGUUAUGUGGAUCACCAGACCAAGGAUUCGCCUGAUCAGCCAUAAGGUUAGCCAGACUGCCAUCUAGCCUAAUCAAGCUCACUGCACUAGUUAGCUGUCAGAGAGAGGCCAGUGAGUUUACAGGAGCUCAUUAGUGAUGCAGUGUCACGUCCUGACCCUAGUAAGAUGUCAUUUUCUAUAGUAGAGUAGGUCAGGGUGUGUUUUGUGUUGUUCUAUGUUUUCUAUUUCUAUGUUUAAGUUCUAGUUUUUCUAUAUCUAUG